rnacentral:rRNA from 1 species
AACGAACGCUGGCGGCAGGCUUAACACAUGCAAGUCGAGCGCCCCGCAAGGGGAGCGGCAGACGGGUGAGUAACGCGUGGGAACGUACCUUUUGGUUCGGAACAACUCCGGGAAACUGGAGCUAAUACCGGAUAAGCCCUAACGGGGAAAGAUUUAUCGCCGAAAGAUCGGCCCGCGUCUGAUUAGCUAGUUGGUGAGGUAACGGCUCACCAAGGCGACGAUCAGUAGCUGGUCUGAGAGGAUGAUCAGCCACACUGGGAAUGAGACACGGCCCAGACUCCUACGGGAGGCCGGAGUGGGGAAUAUUGGAACAUGGGGGGAAAGCUGAACCAGCCAUGCCCGGUGAGUUAUGGAGGGCUUUGGGUUGUAAAGCCCUUUUGGCCGGGAAGAUAAUGACCGUAACGGAAGAAAAAGCCCCGGCUAACUUCGUG